rnacentral:rRNA from 1 species
CCUACGGGAGGCAGCAGUGAGGAAUAUUGGUCAAUGGCCGGGAGGCUGAACCAGCCAAGUCGCGUGAGGGAAGACGGCCCUACGGGUUGUAAACCUCUUUUGUCCGGGAGCAAGGUGCAGGUCGGGACCUGCUUUGAGAGUACCUGAAGAAAAAGCAUCGUCUAACUCCGUGCCAGCAGCCGCGGUAAUACGGAGGAUGCGAGCGUUAUCCGGAUUUAUUGGGUGUAAAGGGUGCGCAGGCGGAGGCACAAGUCAGCGGUAAAAUCGCGGGGCUCAACCCCGCUCCGCCGUUGAAACUGGGUCACUUGAGUGCGCGAAGGGUAGGCGGAAUGCGUGGUGUAGCGGUGAAAUGCAUAGAUAUCACGCAGAACUCCGAUUGCGAAGGCAGCAUACCGGCGCCCUACUGACGCUGAGGCACGAAAGCGUGGGUAUCGAACAGGAUUAGAUACCCCUGUAGUC